AGCGGGUCAUGCCGGGGACUCAUGGGAGACUGCCGGGGUCAACUCGGAGAAGUGGGGAUGACGUCAAAUCAUCAUGCCCCUUAUGUCUUGGGCUUCACGCAUGCUACAAUGGCCGGUACAAAGGGCUGCGAUACCGCGAGGUGGAGCGAAUCCCAGAAAGCCGGUCUCAGUUCGGAUUGGGGUCUGCAACUCGACCCCAUGAAGUCGGAGUCGCUAGUAAUCGCAGAUCAGCAACGCUGCGGUGAAUACGUUCCCGGGCCUU
rnacentral:rRNA from 1 species